CCAUGAUGAUGAGGGCAAACAGUGGUGUACUCUUGGAGUCUCUCCCAUGCUUUGAUAGUGGUCUCGUUAGUGCGCUAAGUGAAGCCGAUGAUCUUGUUGCGCAGCUG